rnacentral:tRNA from 1 species
GGGCUGCUGGCGCAACGGUAGCGCGUUCGACUCCAGAUCGAAAGGUUAUCCGUUUAAAUCGGGUGUGGCCCA